UACGUAUGGUGCAAGCGUUAUCCGGAUUUACUGGGCGUAAAGGGAGCGCAGGCGGCGCGCCAAGUCUGAUGUGAAACCCCGGGGCUCAACCCCGGGCAUGCAUUGGAAACUGGCGGGCUGGAGUGCCGGAGAGGUAAGCGGAAUUCCUAGUGUAGCGGUGAAAUGCGUAGAUAUUAGGAGGAACACCAGUGGCGAAGGCAGCUUACUGGGCGGCAACUGACGCUGAGGCUCGAAAGCGUGGGGAGCAAACAGG
rnacentral:rRNA from 1 species